AGAAUGGAGCUUGCUCCUUUGACGUUAGCGGCGGACGGGUGAGUAACACGUGGGCAACCUACCCUAUAGUUUGGGAUAACUCCGGGAAACCGGGGCUAAUACCGAAUAAUCUCUUUUACUUCAUGGUGAAAGACUGAAAGACGGUUUCGGCUGUCGCUAUAGGAUGGGCCCGCGGCGCAUUAGCUAGUUGGUGAGGUAACGGCUCACCAAGGCGACGAUGCGUAUCCGACCUGAGAGGGUGAUCGGCCCAACUGGGACUGAGACACGGCCCAAACUUCUACGGGAGGCAGCAGUAGGGAAUCUUCCACAAUGGGCGAAAGCCUGAUGGAGCAACGCCGCGUGAGUGAAGAAGGUUUUCGGAUCGUAAAACUCUGUUGUAAGGGAAGAACAAGUACAGUAGUAACUGGCUGUACCUUGACGGUACCUUAUUAGAAAGCCACGGCUAACUACGUGCCAGCAGCCGCGGUAAUACGUAGGUGGCAAGCGUUGUCCGGAAUUAU
rnacentral:rRNA from 1 species